AUACGGAGGGUGCAAACGUUGUUCGGAAUUACUGGGCGUAAAGCGCGCGUAGGCGGGCUGGUCAGUCAGGGGUGAAAUCCCGGGGCUCAACCCCGGAACUGCCUUUGAUACUGCCAGUCUAGAGGUCGAGAGAGGUGAGUGGAAUUCCGAGUGUAGAGGUGAAAUUCGUAGAUAUUCGGAGGAACACCAGUGGCGAAGGUGGCUCACUGGCUCGAUUCUGACGCUGAGGUGCGAAAGCGUGGGGAGCAAACAGGAUUAGAAACCCGAGUAGUCC
rnacentral:rRNA from 1 species